rnacentral:lncRNA from 1 species
CUUCCUUUUCAAGCAAUCCAUAUUAGAACUUUAGCCUUCUUUCAAAUGUCGUAGAUAGGUGAGAUGAUUACUCAGUUUUUCUAACCCUUGGAUUGCCAUAUAGAUGUAUGAUCGAAGCUUAUCUGUGUCUGUGAUUUUGAAUUAGAUCCAUCCUCCACUCUCAAACUACUAUUCGUAACUUGCAACAUAAUGUAGCAAAAGGUUUUUAUUACGUGCCAUCUUAAAUAUUC